GACGAACGCUGGCGGCGUGCCUAAUACAUGCAAGUCGAACGCAUUUUCUUUCACCGUAGCUUGCUACACCGAAAGAAAAUGAGUGGCGAACGGGUGAGUAACACGUGGGUAACCUGCCCAUCAGCGGGGGAUAACACUCGGAAACAGGUGCUAAUACCGCAUAAUUCCAUUUACCGCAUGGUAGAUGGGUGAAAGGCGCUUUUGCGUCACUGAUGGAUGGACCCGCGGUGCAUUAGCUAGUUGGUGGGGUAACGGCCUACCAAGGCUGCGAUGCAUAGCCGACCUGAGAGGGUGAUCGGCCACACUGGGACUGAGACACGGCCCAGACUCCUACGGGAGGCAGCAGUAGGGAAUCUUCGGCAAUGGACGCAAGUCUGACCGAGCAACGCCGCGUGAGUGAAGAAGGUUUUCGGAUUGUAAAACUCUGUUGUUAGAGAAGAACAAGGAUGAGAGUGGAAAGUUCAUCCCUUGACGGUAUCUAACCAGAAAGCCACGGCUAACUACGUG
rnacentral:rRNA from 1 species